CAAUAACCGGGAAGGUGGACUCUCAGAAGAGAGCUUGCACAUGCACCCUGCAUGUCUGUCUGCAGGACAGGUAUUCACAGAUCUCCACUCCCCUGGUUUAACUCCAGCCUUGGGUGCGCAAACAAGCAUGUCUCACCACGCAUCUCUUCUUGUCCACCUUUUCAGAUGAGUAGCUCCUUUUCAGCUUGGUGACCAAACCGAAUGGAUGCUGCGGUGGGUCACUCCUGAGUCACUUCCUAGGACUCCCCAGUUUGCUCUACCUGUGUCCAGCAAGGAGACCGCAUCCUUGGUCACUUAUUAUCAGACGACUCCCAAGGCAAAGAGCAAGAGAAACCGUGCAAUUCCUAAUAAGCUCAUCAUUAGCCACACGACUCCUGGUCCACUAUUGCCAGUUAAUGACCAAACCUCACAGUGUAGACAACUGACAUUUUGCCUGAGCAGCCGUCUCUGGCCAGUGAUAAUUAACCUGAAGGUGUUAAAGAGGCCUCUCUCCUGGAGUCAUGGAUCUGGACGCUAAGGCAAUUUCCCCAUCGUGGCGGCUUUAAUUGGACCAGGCUUCCUAAACAGCGUCAUUUCCCCCUCGACCAGCCCUCUCUGUGCACACAUUUAGAAAAGAGGAAGCGGGUUCAAGGGAGGGCAUUGGGAGAAAAAAAACAAAAAAAAAACCGCCUGUUGGAGAAACGGAGCUCUGAGAACUCAUCCUAAGUAGAGCAAAUAGCAGGAGGCAUGUGGAAAACUGAUUAGUGAGGAACAAAGCAGACGUUUAUUGCCCAGAGGUAGAAAGUUCACUAAUCUUCCUGCGAAACCUCUGUUUUCAUUUCCUUCUCAACUAACCUCCCUCUGGACCAAAUUUAUCACCUGUCUUAAGCUUCCAAUUGCUACAGAAACCAAAGAAGUCCAAGGACUAUGAAUGGAAUCUCAUGGGAAUUGAUCUCCCCAUUCCGCCCUGAACCCCCAAGAUCAUCUUGAGAUGCGGACGACUUUCACUACAUUUUGUGCUUUUCCGACCCCCCCCCGCCCCGUUACCAGUGGACUUGAGGAAGGGCGAUGUGGUGGACCUCAGGGAACCGUCAACGCCGAGAAGACAUCUACAUCUUUGCAACAUGAGGCUGUAACGGGAGCCUUCAGGGUCAGGAGAUGAAGCUCUGGGCCAAGCAGCAUUGCUGGGGCUGGGCUGGCACAGUGGACCCUUCUGCUAAGUGAGAGACCUUGACAUGCGGAUUGUUAAAGACCAUCCAAGCUGGAACAAGUUGAGCACAAAAUAAGUAGCCGUAUCGGAUUAUCGCACAAAGUAUCUAUAAGGAGACAUGAGCCCAGAGUGCUAUAAGUAAAUGAAGGAAGAAAUAAAAGAGACGAAGAGAGAGAUCUUCCUCCCGGA
rnacentral:lncRNA from 1 species